rnacentral:rRNA from 1 species
CCUACGGGUGGCAGCAGUGAGGAAUAUUGGUCAAUGGGCGCAAGCCUGAACCAGCCAAGUCGCGUGAGGGAAGACGGCCCUACGGGUUGUAAACCUCUUUUGCCGGGGAGCAAGCCUGAGCACGUGUGCCCAGGCGGAGAGUACCCGGAGAAAAAGCAUCGGCUAACUCCGUGCCAGCAGCCGCGGUAAUACGGAGGAUGCGAGCGUUAUCCGGAUUUAUUGGGUUUAAAGGGCGUGUAGGCGGGAAAGCAAGUCAGAUGUGAAAACUCAGGGCUCAACCCUGAGCCUGCAUUUGAAACUGUUUUUCUUGAGUGCUGGAGAGGCAAUCGGAAUUCCGUGUGUAGCGGUGAAAUGCGUAGAUAUACGGAGGAACACCAGUGGCGAAGGCGGAUUGCUGGACAGUAACUGACGCUGAGGCGCGAAAGCGUGGGGAGCAAACAGGAUUAGAUACCCGGGUAGUC